rnacentral:rRNA from 1 species
AUGAACGCUGGCGGCGUGCCUAAUACCUGCAAGUCGAGCGCACGGACGAGAAGCUAGCUUCUCUGAUGUUAGCGGCGGACGGGUGAGUAACACGUGGAUAACCUACCUAUAAGACUGGGAUAACUUCGGGAAACCGGAGCUAAUACCGGAUAAUAUUUUGAACCGCAUGGUUCAAAAGUGAAAGACGGUCUUGCUGUCACUUAUAGAUGGAUCCGCGCUGCAUUAGCUAGUUGGUAAGGUAACGGCUUACCAAGGCAACGAUGCAUAGCCGACCUGAGAGGGUGAUCGGCCACACUGGAACUGAGACACGGUCCAGACUCCUACGGGAGGCAGCAGUAGGGAAUCUUCCGCAAUGGGCGAAAGCCUGACGGAGCAACGCCGCGUGAGUGAUGAAGGUCUUCGGAUCGUAAAACUCUGUUAUUAGGGAAGAACAUAUGUGUAAGUAACUGUGCACAUCUUGACGGUACCUAAUCAGAAAGCCACGGCUAACUACGUG